CCAUUUCCGCUUCUUACAACUCGCGCCGUUGCUCCUCUCUCCGCCUCCCCCCCACUCUCUCCGACUUCACGUACCCUACGCUCUCUCUCUCAAGAACAAUGGCAUCCCACAUUGUUGGAUACCCCCGUAUGGGCCCCAAGAGAGAGCUCAAGUUUGCUCUUGAAUCAUUCUGGGAUGGAAAGAGCUCUGCAGAAGAUUUGAAAAAGGUGGCAGCAGAUCUGAGGUCAUCCAUCUGGAAACAGAUGGCUGAUGCCGGGAUCAAGUACAUCCCCAGCAAUACUUUUUCGUACUAUGAUCAGGUGCUUGAUGCCACUGCAACUCUUGGAGCUGUUCCUCCUAGAUAUGGUUGGACUGGUGGUGAGAUUGGAUUCGACACUUACUUCUCCAUGGCUAGAGGAAAUGCAUCUGUUCCAGCGAUGGAAAUGACCAAGUGGUUUGACACAAACUAUCAUUUCAUCGUCCCUGAGUUGGGACCAGAGGUGAAGUUCUCAUAUGCUUCACACAAGGCCGUGGAGGAAUACAAAGAAGCCAAGGCUCUUGGAGUUGAAACUGUUCCAGUUCUUAUUGGUCCCGUGUCAUAUUUGUUGCUCUCUAAGCCAGCCAAGGGUGUGGACAAGAACUUCGUCCUUCUUUCCCUUCUUAACAAGAUCCUUCCCAUCUACAAGGAGGUUGUGUCAGAUCUUAAGGCUGCAGGUGCUUCUUGGAUUCAGUUUGAUGAGCCUACAUUGGUGAUGGAUCUUGAUUCUGACAAAUUGAAGGCCUUCUCUGAUGCAUAUUCUGAACUGGAAUCAACUCUCUCUGGGUUGAAUGUUCUUGUUGAGACAUAUUUUGCUGAUAUCCCUGAUGAGGCGUACAAGACCUUGACUGCUUUGAAGGGUGUCACUGCCUAUGGAUUUGAUUUGGUUCGUGGAACUAAGACAUUUGGUUUAAUCAAGGGUGGUUUCCCUAAGGGAAAAUUUCUUUUUGCUGGAGUAGUUGAUGGAAGGAACAUUUGGGCCAACGAUCUUGCCACCUCAGUCAAUAUAUUGGAGGAACUAGCUGGCAUAGUGGGCAAAGACAAUCUUGUCGUCUCCACCUCCUGCUCACUUCUGCACACUGCUGUCGACCUUGUCAACGAAACUAAGUUGGACAACGAAAUUAAAUCAUGGCUAGCUUUUGCUGCUCAAAAGCUUGUUGAGGUCAACGCAUUGGCGAAGGCUUUGGCUGGCAACAAGGACGCGCAAUUAUUUGCUGCUAAUGCUGAAGCUCAUGCUUCAAGAAAGUCGUCCCCCAGGGUGACCAAUGAGGCUGUUCAGAAAGCGGCUGCUGCUUUGAAGGGUUCCGAUCAUCGCCGCGCUACAAACGUUAGUACAAGACUUGAUGCUCAACAGAAGAAGCUUAACCUUCCAAUCCUUCCCACCACCACCAUUGGAUCCUUCCCUCAAACUGUUGAACUCAGGAGGGUUCGCCGGGAAUACAAAGCAAACAAGAUUUCUGAGGAUGAAUACGUUAAGGCUAUUAAGGAGGAAAUUAACAAGGUUGUCAAGCUCCAGGAAGAGCUUGAUAUUGAUGUCUUGGUUCAUGGAGAGCCCGAGAGAAACGACAUGGUUGAAUACUUUGGUGAGCAGUUGUCAGGUUUUGCCUUCACUGUUAACGGUUGGGUGCAAUCAUAUGGAUCACGUUGUGUGAAGCCCCCAAUCAUCUAUGGUGAUGUGAGCCGCCCAAAACCCAUGACUGUCUUCUGGUCGACCACAGCUCAGAGCAUGACAUCCCGCCCAAUGAAGGGAAUGCUCACUGGCCCUGUCACCAUUCUCAACUGGUCCUUUGUUAGAGUCGACCAGCCAAGGUUUGAAACUUGCUACCAGAUCGCGUUGGCCAUCAAGGAUGAGGUGGAGGAUCUGGAGACGGCUGGUAUUAAUGUUAUCCAGAUUGAUGAGGCUGCUUUGAGAGAAGGGUUGCCUCUGAGGAAAUCUGAGCAAGCCUUCUAUUUGGAUUGGGCUGUUCACUCUUUCCGUAUCACAAACGUCGGUGUGCAAGACACGACUCAGAUCCACACCCACAUGUGUUACUCCAACUUCAACGACAUAAUCCAAUCCAUCAUCGACAUGGAUGCUGAUGUGAUCACAAUUGAGAACUCUCGCUCAGAUGAGAAGCUGUUGUCGGUGUUCCGUGAGGGAGUGAAGUAUGGUGCUGGAAUUGGGCCUGGUGUGUACGACAUUCACUCCCCAAGAAUACCAUCAACCGAAGAGAUUGCAGACCGCAUUAACAAGAUGCUUGCAGUGCUGGAGAAGAACGUCUUGUGGGUGAAUCCCGACUGUGGACUCAAAACUCGCAAGUAUACAGAGGUGAACCCGGCCCUCAAAAACAUGGUGGCCGCCGCAAAGCUUCUCCGGAAGGAGCUUGCCAGUGCCAAGUGAGUUUGUUGAUGAUGAGUUUUCUCCGCCGUCUCUUAAAAAAAAAGUCUGUUUUGUUUUGUCCAAAUAAGUGUGUAGGUGUGCUCUUGGGAGCAGUUCUUUCUCUCGAGAUUGUUUUGAAUCGAGGCUAGUAUGUGUAGUAGUCUGUUAUGUUUUGCUUUCAAUAUGUUUGGCCAUUGAUUGCUUAUGGCUUUUGUCCCUAAAUUCAUACGAUGAAUAGAAUGGUCGAUUCUAUCUUCGCCACUUCUUUUGUAUUAAUAGUGGAAAUAAUAUUUGAGAU